CCUACGGGGGGCAGCAGUGAGGAAUAUUCGUCAAUGGACGGAAGUCUGAACCAGCCAUGCCGCGUGCAGGAAGACGGCUCUAUGAGUUGUAAACUGCUUUUGUACAAGGGUAAACCUGAAUACGUGUAUUCAGCUGAAAGUACUGUACGAUUAAGGAUCGGCUAACUCCGUUCCAGCAGCCGCGGUAAUACGGAGGAUCCAAGCGUUAUCCGGAUUUAUUGGGUUGAAAGGGUGCGUAGGCGGAUUGAUAAGUUAGAGGUGAAAGGUCCGGGCUGAACUCGGGAACUGCCUCGAAUACUGUUGAUCUAGGGAGUAGAUGCGGUAGGCGGAAUGUAUGGUGUAGCGGUAAAAUGGUUAGAGAUCAUACAGAAACCAGAUUGCGAGGGGAGCGUACUAAACUGUGACUGACAUUGAUGCUCGAAAGUGUGGGUAUCAAACAGGAUUAGAUACCCUUGUAGUC
rnacentral:rRNA from 1 species